rnacentral:rRNA from 1 species
CCUACGGGCGGCUGCAGUGGGGAAUAUUGCACAAUGGAGGAAACUCUGAUGCAGCGACGCCGCGUGAGCGAUGAAGGUUUUCGAAUCGUAAAGCUCUGUCCUAAGGGACGAUAAUGACGGUACCUUAGGAGGAAGCCCCGGCUAACUACGUGCCAGCAGCCGCGGUAAUACGUAGGGGGCGAGCGUUGUCCGGAUUUAUUGGGCGUAAAGGGUGCGUAGGCGGCCUUGUAAGUCAGAUGUGAAAUCUCACGGCUUAACCGUGGUAAGCAUUUGAAACUGUGAGGCUUGAGUACAGGAGAGGAGAGUGGAAUUCCUAGUGUAGCGGUGAAAUGCGUAGAUAUUAGGAGGAAUACCAGUGGCGAAGGCGACUCUCUGGACUGUAACUGACGCUGAGGCACGAAAGCGUGGGGAGCAAACAGGAUUAGAUACCCCGGUAGUC